AUUUUUCGCAGUUCAUACAAACGCUCAAUCCAGAGUAACCCCCUCUUGAGCCGUUAAAGAAGCUGAAAAACUGGACACAAGAUGCUUCCUUCUUCGCUUCAAUAUGCACACAUGGAGGCUUUAUGUUUCCACAUCACUGAGAAUAUAUAUCCCAGAUGACAUCACAACAAAUAACAAAGACAACGUAUAGGACGCCAUUUUGGAGAAUUUCAACGCCACAGCAGUCAUAAAGGAAGGCUAAAGUGUGCAGAGGCCUGGAAGAGGAGGAAGAGGAGUAGGGGAUGUGGGGGGAUCUCUCCAGUCGUACACCCCGCAGAGUCACUCUCUCCUGGGCUAAAUGUUCUUUUACCAAGUGCCCCGGCGAGAGGAAGAGGAACUCUGUCCUUCCACCUCCCACCUUGAACCUAACUGCCGUAACAGGAGUAGAGACAGGAUGUGAUGCUCAGCUCUGCCUACCUCCACUGCUUGCUUCUUGAACUGACGAGUCUUUCCAACAAAACUAAUCUCCAUAAAGUGUACGUACUUAACAGUUAACCAACAUUUUCCUUUCAUGGAAGAAUUUCUUAUGAUGAAGAAGAAAAGUUAUAAAAGCGGCCUUUCUGGUUAAGGCUGUGAAUGAUAGCAGAAUGCUCAAAUUGUUAAC